rnacentral:lncRNA from 1 species
GGUAUUCUAAUAAAAAAUAACAAUGCUAAUUUUAUCUGAAAAAUACAUGUACCUCAAUAAUUUUAUCAAGGGCAUGUUUUGUGCUAGAUACUACUCUUUAUGUUAGGAAUAUAAGCAAUUGUAUAAGAUACUUACAGAUUGCAGUAAGUGGUAAAAAAUAUAACAUGAAGAGGGAAUAGUGAUGAGAAGGUAACUAUAUAGGGGAGUGGUCAGGGAGUGCUUCACUGAAGAUGUAAAAUAUGAACUGAAACCUAUAUCCUGAUUUAAAAUAGCUUUGCAGAUGUUUUAGGUAAAUAGCAGCAAGCGAACAAUACCAAAGUAGAAUGACUCCUGCCUGCUACAUUUCCCCAGAUACCCAGGACCUUCAUGCUGUCACUCUCCAUGACCUGACCAACAUCUAUUUUGAGAAAUUAUUUUAUAUACUCAUUCAAACAGUCAUCUUUUGUGUCCAGAGUUGGUUCCUUCUGGUGGGUUCGUGGUCUCGCUAACUUCAAGAAUGGAGCCACGGACCUUCGCGACACUUCUAUUUAAACUUCUUGGAAGGAUAUCUCAAUAACAUUCCUUUGCUGAGGACCAUAAGAUAGAAGAUGAGAAUCCAUCUGCCCUCUUCUCUGCACCCAGGCUUCAAUCCUGUUUGAUCAUGCAGGGGCUACAAGGCCUUCGACACAAAGAACUUGUCUUAGAUUCUAAUCAGUUUAACAAAUAGGACAGACAGCUGCUGAGCACUGUCUGAGUGACACUGAUUUACAUACAAAUGAACCACCAAUGUCCCCUUCUAUCAACUCAGAAUAAAAUCUGGUUUUAGCAUAUGCAGUCCUACGAGACAUGGUUAAAGGAUAUGAAUGAUAGAUAGAGAUAAAAGAAAUCAAGGACCAUUCCUCCACAAGUCUCCAAAGAGGAAAACAACAAUCGAAGAAAAAAGAGUGAGAGAACAGAUGGGCUGGCAGAGUUUUGCUUUCUAUGUGACAUUGUGUACUUAUUAUUCGCAUGAGGACUAAUUUAUAAACCCGGAUAGUGUUUAUAAACUAUACUGUCCUAAUGGAAAUGAAAGCAUUAAUACAACUAGAAGAUUCUUUACUUUCCAAGCUUUAAUUAAAAUCACAGGCGUUAAGAAGCAAAA